GAGUGGGGCGGGCAGGCGAAAAUUCGCCUCCUUCGCCAUUCGGUCAAAGCUGGGAGAGGUGACCUACAAGCCACAUUCACUUUGUGACAACGAAUCAGCAUUGAGAAUGGACUGCGCCGCACACUGUGGGCACCCUGAGCUGUAUGACACGUUAUCAGUGCCGGGGACCAAGCAAGAAAGGAGCAGGCUUGGAAAGUUGUGAGGGAGGAAGCUGGCAUACCUGAUGAACUUUAUUGGACAGAUUAGAGGGAACAGGAGGGGGGUCAUGAGAACAGGACGCUGCUGACUCUGCCCCACCUCAAAGACUGCCUUGCCUAAAAAAAGGAAAUGGAAAAGGAGCGGAGCAGUUGAGGAGAAGACUUGAGCAUUUUCUCCAUUUCCUGAAGGACAGUACAAAUGUUCCUCCACCCCAGCCCCCGCUGCGAGGACCCACUGUUCAUGACAAGCAUGAUUCCUUCCUUCUGAUUCCAGAAGGAAUAUGUCAAAUUUUAACUUCAUAAAUUAUUGUAUGAACAAAGCACAUUUACUCUAAAUUUGGACCAAUUGGAUCAAUAAUGUCCAGGUGGCAAACUUAUCCAGGAAGGAUUCAGGCUUUUAUACUUUUUGUUGUUGUUGUUUUGUUCGUGAUGGAUGGUUAGUUAAAACUUUUUUGAA